AAGUCGUAACAAGGUUUCCGUAGGUGAACCUGCGGAAGGAUCAUUAAUUGGAUCACUGGAGUCGGCGGCGCCUCUUUUGAGGUGCCAAUGACGCCUUUUGCUCUGUGAACUGUAUUGUACUAUUGUAUUUUAUUGUAUUUACUUCUUCUCGCAAGAGAAUGAAAUAAAAAGACAACUUUUAGCAAUGGAUCUCUUGGCUCUU
rnacentral:misc_RNA from 1 species